AAAGAACCCAAUGUAGCCAAGGACAACUUGCCGACACAUAUUAUAACAUUAUGCUAAUAUUAAUAAAAUCCGGCAAGUCAUCCUUGGCUGCAUUGUGAACAUUUU
rfam:Spinacia oleracea cultivar SynViroflay scaffold4244.con0004.1, whole genome shotgun sequence.